rnacentral:rRNA from 1 species
UGGGGGAUAUUGCACAAUGGGCGAAAGCCUGAUGCAGCGACGCCGCGUGAGGGAAGACGGUUUUCGGAUUGUAAACCUCUGUCUUCGGGGACGAAAAUGACGGUACCCGAGGAGGAAGCCACGGCUAACUACGUGCCAGCAGCCGCGGUAAUACGUAGGUGGCAAGCGUUGUCCGGAAUUACUGGGUGUAAAGGGCGUGCAGCCGGGCCGACAAGUCAGAUGUGAAAUCCCGAGGCUUAACCUCGGAACUGCAUUUGAAACUGUUGGUCUUGAGUAUCGGAGAGGUCAUCGGAAUUCCUUGUGUAGCGGUGAAAUGCGUAGAUAUAAGGAAGAACACCAGUGGCGAAGGCGGAUGACUGGACGACAACUGACGGUGAGGCGCGAAAGCGUGGGGAGCGAACAGGAUUAGAUACCCUGGUAGU